UACGGAGGGUGCGAGCGUUGUUCGGAAUCACUGGGCGUAAAGGGCGUGUAGGCGGCUGGGUAAGCCGCGUGUGAAAUCCCGGGGCUCAACCCCGGAACGGCACGCGGGACUGCUCGGCUCGAGAAUGGUAGAGGCGAGUGGAAUUCCUGGUGUAGCGGUGGAAUGCGUAGAGAUCAGGAAGAACACCGGUGGCGAAGGCGGCGUCCUGGACCAACACUGACACUGAUGAGCGAAAGCCAGGGG
rnacentral:rRNA from 1 species